rnacentral:rRNA from 1 species
CUGGAUUCAGCGGCGGACGGGUGAGUAAUGCCUAGGAAUCUGCCUGGUAGUGGGGGAUAACGUCCGGAAACGGGCGCUAAUACCGCAUACGUCCUGAGGGAGAAAGUGGGGGAUCUUCGGACCUCACGCUAUCAGAUGAGCCUAGGUCGGAUUAGCUAGUUGGUGGGGUAAAGGCCUACCAAGGCGACGAUCCGUAACUGGUCUGAGAGGAUGAUCAGUCACACUGGAACUGAGACACGGUCCAGACUCCUACGGGAGGCAGCAGUGGGGAAUAUUGGACAAUGGGCGAAAGCCUGAUCCAGCCAUGCCGCGUGUGUGAAGAAGGUCUUCGGAUUGUAAAGCACUUUAAGUUGGGAGGAAGGGCAGUAAGUUAAUACCUUGCUGUUUUGACGUUACCAACAGAAUAAGCACCGGCUAACUUCGUGCCAGCAGCCGCGGUAAUACGAAGGGUGCAAGCGUUAAUCGGAAUUACUGGGCGUAAAGCGCGCGUAGGUGGUUCAGCAAGUUGGAUGUGAAAUCCCCGGGCUCAACCUGGGAACUGCAUCCAAAACUACUGAGCUAGAGUACGGUAGAGGGUGGUGGAAUUUCCUGUGUAGCGGUGAAAUGCGUAGAUAUAGGAAGGAACACCAGUGGCGAAGGCGACCACCUGGACUGAUACUGACACUGAGGUGCGAAAGCGUGGGGAGCAAACAGG